UUAAUUAAAAAUGUUCUACGGCAAUAAUUUUGUCCGCACUAGGUGCAAAAGAAAGCUUAGUAGCUGAUGUUUACUUGAUAAAAAAUUCAGGGUGUUGUUCGGCUUAAUUUUUAUUUUAAACUAGGUCCAAAGUUUGGGUCGGACAUCCUAUCCCACCCUUACAGAAAAGGUAAUACAAAUUAUUCUACGGCAAUACUUUUGACUGCCCUAUGUGCAAAGGGAAGCUGGGUAGCUGAUGUCUACUUGAUAAAAAAUCCAGGGUGUUGUCAGGCUUAUUUUUUUGUUUACUAGGUCCAAAGUUGGGUUCGGACACCCUAUCCCACCCUUACAGAAAAGUUAAUAAAAAAUGUUCUAUGGCAACACUUUUGUCUGCACUAGUUACAAAGGUAUGCAAAGCGGCUAAGGUCUACUUGAGAAAAAAUCCAAGGUGUUGUUCGGCUUAGUUAUGUUUUUAAGUUGGUCCACAGUUGGGGUCUGACACAGAAAAGUUAAUUAAAAAUGUUCUACGGCAAUACUUGUGUCUGCACUACGUGCAAAGGGAAGCUAAGUAGCUCAGGUAUACUUGAGAAAAAAAUCCAGGGUGUUUUUCGGCUUAGUUUUGUUUUUAAGUAGGUCCACAGUUGGGGUCGGACACCCUACCCCACCCUUACAGAACAGUCAAUAAAAAUAUGUUGUACGUCAAAAUUUUUGUCCGCACUAGGUGGAAAUGGAGCUGGAUAGCUGAGGUCAACAUGAGAAAAAAUCCAGGUUGUUGUUCGGCUUAGUUUUGUUUUUAAGUAGGUCCACAGUUGGGGUCGGACACCCUACCCCAC
rnacentral:lncRNA from 1 species